rnacentral:rRNA from 1 species
CACGUAGGCACCAAGCGUUGUCCGGAUUUAUUGGGCGUAAAGAGCUCGUAGGCGGUUCGGUAAGUCGGGUGUGAAAACUUUGGGCUCAACCCAAAGCGUGCACUCGAUACUGCCAUGACUAGAGUUCGGUAGGGGAGUGGGGAAUUCCUAGUGUAGCGGUGAAAUGCGCAGAUAUCAGGAGGAACACCGGUGGCGAAGGCGGGUCUCUGGGCCGUAACUGACGCUGAGGAGCGAAAGCGUGGGGAGCGAACAGG